rnacentral:lncRNA from 1 species
CCGCACAGGUCCUCUGCAGAUGGCAGAGCCCUUUCUCUAAAUGCAUGGCAUGAAAAGGCAUUUCAAAGGUUGGAAAGAGAGCUUCAGCAUUAAUCAUGAUGGGAUAGCGGAAACUGGCUUUGCAAGGGAUGGACUGGACUUCAGGGAAGAUGGACAGCCUGAGCUCACUUUCAGGAGAGCUCACUUUCAGGAGAUCAGUCAGGGCUGUCAUUCCAGGGCCUGGGUGGAGGGCUUCUGCUGUGCCAGGGAACAGGUGUCUGGACUCGGUCUCCCAGGGGAGAAGCAGGCCCCCCACAAAGGACAUAAAUCUCUACAGAUGAGGAUACCUCACUGGGCUUUUGUUUGUCAGCCAAAAAGGGAAAAACAUUUCAGCAGAGGCCUCAAAGGCAGAACAAAAUAGUGCAAGGAGCCGCACAUCCGCACAGUGCUGAGACCCUGCCCAGGACAAGCUUGACAAAAAAGAAGAAAAUUGGGUCUUGUUAUGUUGCCCAGGCUGGUCUCCAACUCCUGGCCUCAAGUGAUCCUCCCAGCUUGUCCUUCCAAAGUGUUGGGAUUAUAGAUCCUGGCACCCAAGUGACAACCUGCAUUGAAAAGGCGGAACUUGGCUCUCCUGCCCUGCCAGCUGUAAGAGCUUGAAAGCAAAGCUAUGGGGGGAAUGUCUUUCAUUUCCCCCUGGAAGCUGGGAGGACGUUCAGCUUAGCAUUGCCAACUGUGUAAUGUGGACUUGCCUCUAAAAGAAGCCUUUUUCCUUGGAUGUCUUUCAGGCCGCAGUAUUCCCUUUGGCACCCCCACCCACCUGGAACAAAGCCUGAUGUAAAGUCUGGGUGCGACUCAGACCGGCCUGGGAAAGAAUUUAUUUAAUAAAUGGUGGAAAGUGGCUUCCUUGACGUGUCUUCGAUGGCUUUUUUAUAAAGCAUUUGGUUUGUCUACUCGUCUGUUUUUGCGCCAUCUCUUUCCACAAAGAUGGCUUAUAGCAGGGAUACUUACAACAAAAUGAUGCUGGGAAAACAAAAACAAAGAAGUAGAGAAUUAGGCCUGAGAAAACUAGGAGUAGAGAGUCACGAUUAGAUACAGAGGAGCAUAGAUGUGUAGUCUAGGAAGGCCAACUAAUUGUUAUAGCUGAAAUUCAAAUUCAGUUAGCUAAAAUGUUCCUAGUGUCAAAGGAAGAAUGGGCCACACAGUUGCAUAAUCCUUAGUAUUAGGGAGAAGGAAAAGGUUCCAGUUAUU